rnacentral:lncRNA from 1 species
AACAAACAGUCACUUGUGUCUCUUGCCUGCAUGCAGCAAUCCAUCCAUUUCACAAUGUGAAUUCUUAAUAUUCUCUUCGAUGAAUUGGGUAAAUAAAAACAAAAUACUAUUCACCCCUAUAUUUUCAUUCAAAUUCAAGAAAUAUCUUUGUUGAUCAGCCAAUAAAUUUCAAGUGUAUUUAAGCUCCAUUUUCCGUCAAUGACCACAUAUUAUUUCUCUAUUAAACUGCAGAGGAAGUAGAGAAGAAAAGGGAAAAAGUGAUGGCCGGAGGAGGUGACAGCGACGGAGAAUCCUUAGAUUAUACACCUACUUGGAUAAUCGCACUUGUUUGUAUUAGCAGGAACAUUCCUUGGAAAGACAAGGAAGAAAAUGAAAGAAGCCAGUCUAGUUGCACACAAAAGGAAUCCCAGUCCUUUACAAGCAAUCAAUUCAAUGGAAGGCCUUCCAAGACAGCCAACAUCCAUUUAGCCUAGAAUCAAUCAAGCCAGCCAAAGUGUUUUCCCAAUUCUGUCCAGCAAUUACAACAAUCAAGGAAUUCACCAGUCAUUUACAUACCUGAUUUAGAAUAGAUUUUGUUUCUGUUAGGAAAUGCCAAAAAUAAAUAAAAGAUUGUAAUAUCUCUACAGCACAUGGAACCAGUAUAAAUAGAAACAAUUGUACAGUCUCCAGCACGUUGAGCUGAGACACUUAAACCAGUACUUUCUUCUGUUUGUACUGUAAUUGUGGCCAUCUCUUUAAUU